GAUCCUCUGGAAUUGAAGUUAGACCAUUGUGAGCCAUCACAUUGUUUCUGGCCAUCAAACCCAGGUACUCUUGAAGAAUAACUUGUGCUCUUUACUACUGAGCUACCUCUCCAGAUCUCUUCACAAGCAUAGAGUCCUGCAUGAAAUGCUGCAAAUUUGAAGGCUUGCAUGAGACUUUUCAGGAGAGGACGACCCUCCAAACAAGCACACAGCCAACA